UAAGAAAAUCAAAAAUCUAACCCUAGAUAUCAAACUAUCAUAAACGGCAACCCUAAUUCAUUGCAAACCAUAAUUCGAUGCAAAAGUGGGAAAAUCAAAACCCUAAUUUAUUUCAAUCCAACCCAAAACUUACAGCUGGAGCUUAAACGGAUGUCAGAGAACUUGGAUCCGGCAGCUGAUGCGAAAGAUUCGGUGGUCGGCGUCGGCGGAGGUUCGUCGUGAAUGUUCGUCAGCACUGUUGUUCGAGAACUCGGCAGAGAAGGAGAGAAGAAAAAGAGAGAAGAAAGGAGAAGAAAGAAAGAGAGAGAAAGAAAUGUAAUUUAAUGAGAAAGAUUCUCUUCUUUGAAUUGAAAUUUAAAAUACAUAGUUUGAACACACAAGAGUUAUUACCAAUAAACGUGGAAUGCGGGCCCAGACAAAAGACUGCGCAUUAGCCAUAGUUGUUCAGUUAUUCAGUUGUACGGUUCUCAAGUUAUUUGUACUUUGUGGAAGUUUUAAUAUUUAGAGUUGGACUUCAUAAAUAUCAUUAACUUAUAGUUGGACAGAUGAUAUAAAAUGUU
rnacentral:sRNA from 1 species